rnacentral:lncRNA from 1 species
UAACACGUGCCAAUUGUAAUUUUCAGCGCCAACAACCCCUGCAGUCCUUUCGCUUCAUCGUUGGUCAAAACUUAGAAGUCUGACAAAACUUGAAGUAAGAUGAUACCCACCAUUGAAAUUUGAAUCCUUACAAUUUAGAACUGAGCAGAAGCAGAACAAGAAUCGAUGCAGACCACUUAGAUUCCUUUUUCCAGUUUCAGUACUGUUCUAAUUCUAAAAACACCCACUUUCAGGUAUCCUCCCCUCUCCUGUCUUUCAUCAUCACCAAAGCCAGCUGCAACACUAUCAAAAUGCCUAAUCCAUCCUUCAAUUCAAGAAAACCCAUUUCUGUACACGCUUUACCAAUCUUUGUCAGCCUGUAAACCCAUUUCUGUACACGCUUUACCAAUCUUUGUCAGCCUGUUUUUCUCCGCCAUUCCCCAUUCUGCCCUGAAAAUACCACCUCCUUUGCCCAUUUUACCCCUCCCUUCGGCUUCUCAGCUCCAAUGGCAACUCUCUUCC